rnacentral:lncRNA from 1 species
CGGGGAUCUAACACUUCCACCCUCCAGAGCCUGUCUCCGGCCACCUACCUUGGGGGAUUCUUUCCCGAGCCGGCUGCGGAGACACAUAAAGACAUCCAGUGAACCAGUCCUUUCACAUAUCCUUUCACCACCUUGGAAUGUCCACUAGUAACAGGAACACAGAGAAGCAAAGAGUCAGAGCGACCCCUGACCUGCCAUGCAGUGUGUCCCUCAGGAGAAGGCAAGGGGGAAAGAACAAGUUGAGCCUGCUUGCCCAUCCCAGCAACCAUGGGGACACUGUGGAGGGUCCCUGGGCCUGGCUCCUGCUCCAUUGCUUAUCUGGCUGGUCACUCUCCCACAAUGAAAGGCUCCUUGCACUGAAUGAAAGGGACAAAAUACCGUAAGCAGGACUGAUGCCACACAGGUGCCAGUGCUGGAUGUCUGCUGACAGGGGCAUGUGACCUACAUCAGAGGACACAGACUUGCAGUCUACCAUCUGCACCCUGCUUCCAAAUCAUUUUUUUUCCUUUUUUUUUUUUUUUUUUGAGACGGAGUUUCGCUCUUGUUGCCCAGGCUGGAGUGCAAUGGCGCGAUCUCGGCUCACUGCAACCUCCGCCUCCUGGGUUCAAGCGAUUCUCCUGCCUCAGCCUCCUGAGUAACUGGGAUUACAGGCAUGCGCCACCAUGCCCAGCUAAUUUUAUAUUUUUAGUAGAGACAGGGUUUCUCCAUGUUGGUCAGGCUGGUCUCAAACUCCUGACCUCAGGUGAUCUGCCCACCUCAGCCUCCCAGAGUGCUGGGAUUACAGGCGUGAGCCACCAUGCCUGGCCCAAAUAAUUUUUUAAAAAUUGAACCAGUUGCCAACUUUUAAGCACCAACAGAUCAACCAUAGAAAUCAAGAUUUCCAUUUUUCUUGAAAAAUGUAAGACCUACCACCUUGGGCGUUCAUCCUCACAGCUCCUGUCACUUCACUACUGCUCCUCAAUGCUGAGGAUGAGGGUUGAUCACCACUGAUCAACUUAAAUCCAGUUCACAACACUUUUUUAUUUACGUUACCUUCUUGGCUCCUAUAGACCACUGAAGUUGUCACUUCUCCUCCACCCCUUCUACCCUUUGCCUAUAUCCACAGGAUCCUUCAUGGGACUCCACUUGUUCCCCACAAGGUCCAAGGGAUUACACCCACAUUCUCAGCAUCUUCGGACUGGACAAACUGAAUGGCAACAUGAAGAAAACGACGAAUCUUCAGCCAAUAUUUGGAAUAGUGGAUACAUCUACUGGCUUAUGAUCAGCUACACGAUUCCAAACUCCUACCCCUUUAUUUAUUUACCCACUCCUACCCCUUCCUCCCAUUAAAGAAAAAAGAUAACUUAGUAGACAGUAGUUGGGUCUACAGUAAUUUUAUUGUAACAGAGAAACCAGGCCGCAAUAAGUCUACAUGGUUAGAGCAGAUGGUGGUUCUUUCCAGUGGGUGAAGCCUGAACCCAGCUAGCAGCACGCAAAGCCUAGAAUAUCCUCUUUCCUGGUACCACCCUGCGCCGCUGGACUCACAGUGUGAGAUGAGAGGCUGCACACCACAUUCAACAAAGGGAGGAGGUCCAACCGGGCAGAGACAACAUCCCAACUGGAGAAACUUGCACUAUCAUUCAAGAGGAUGCCGAGAUAAAGUACAGUUUCCUACUCUCCACUAUUCUUUGCUGAAAAGGGUGAGGGUACAGCAUCAGCAGAAAAUUAUGUUCUUCAUUCUUAAAUAAAUCUCGAUAGGAUGGAGUUGAUGGUCAAUCAAGCAGUAGAAUGGGAUGAAAAUCUGCAAUAGUUAAAAAAUCUUUGCGUGUAAGGAAAAGAACGGCAAUGACAAGGGAGAA